rnacentral:lncRNA from 1 species
AUUAGCCAAGUGGUCUCCAUCCAAUUGACGGUAAAACUAGCUAAUGCAUCACCCUAUUUGGAUAGUUAUAUAUACGUCAUGUUGUUCGCACUUGCAUGCUGGGCACAAGACAAUUACAGGAUAUUAUUAAUCAAUUACAAAUUUACCCCUGUAAAACCAAUUCUACCAUGGCAAAAAACACACACUCUAAUACGUAGAAGAGUCAAUUGGUUGUAGUAGUUGUACUUGAGUUCGGAUCCUUUUAAGUUUUUGGUCCGUGAAGUGAUCAUAAAAUAUACAAAACGAAGUCGUUUUGUAUACUUUGGAAAUCUCCAACUUCAUUUUCCUUCUCAAAUGCGUUCCUACCACAAACGGAGAGAGAAAAAAGGGUAAAUUACACAAAUCUCUCCUGAGGUUUCUACUUCAACCACUACCCUCCCCAAGGGAUUGGAGAUUAUAUUGGCAUCCCCUGUCGCCCUGUCGGACCUUGUCCAUUAACAGAGUUAACAGACAAGGCCUAAUGACAUAAUUGCCCUUUACUUAUUUUAACAUAUAUAAUAAUUCAUAUUUGAAGAUAUUUGGAUAGCUAUUUUUUUCCUAAGUGAAAUUAGCUAAUCCAUAAAAUUAGCUAGUUUUUUUGUCCUUAGUUAUUAUUAUUUUUUUUUUGCAAAUUUGAACAAGUUUCUACAUUUUCAGUUUUUUCUUUUCAAGUUGACAUAUUAACUUUUUUAUCUUAAGAAACUUUUUCUACAAAUUUAAACCAAAUUUUAAUAUUUUCAGGUUUCUCUUGGUGAAACUAAAAACAAUAUAUAACUUUGAUCAAAUAAUGAAAAAAGUUAACUAAAGAUGAUCAAAACUCAAAAACAAAUAUUUUAGCUUGGAAAAUUAGCUAAUUUUUUUAUCCAGAUAGUGAACUGUGUUGUAAAAUUUUGUGAUGAAAUUUAGUAUUUUCAAUUGCUGUACGUCAAGUGAGGGAAACAAAAAAAAAAGUAUAAACUUUUGAUUAAGCGAAGAAAAAGUUUGCUAGAGACGAAAAAACUAUUUUUACUUAACAAAUUAGCCAAUUUUUUAUGUUCUAAGUGAAUUAUUUUUAAAAAUUGAAUAGAUCUUUACAUUCUCAUAUUCCUCUCAUCAAGUGGAAUGAAAAGAGUAUACAAUUUUGAUCAAACGAUAAAAAAAAUCGUUAAAGAAAAAAAAACUCAAAAUUAAAAUCAUUUUUACUUGUCAAAUUAGCUAAAAAAAUAUUGUCCUAAGUGAUUUUGUUUCUGAAAAUUUGAACAAAAUAUUUAAAUUUUUAGAUUCCUCUCUUCAAGUGAAAUAAAAAAUAUAAAAAUUUGAUCAAACGAUGAAAAAAGCUAACUAAAGAUGAAAAAACUCCAAAACUAAAGUAACUAAAAAAUCUAAAAAAAUAAUUUAAGCCAAUCUGUUAAAAAAAAAAAAAAAUGUAACUUUUGUAUUACAAAAGCCAACCUUCACUUCUAUUUAUCCACCAAAUUAGAGAUUCUAGUAGCUUUAUAAUGGGGACACCAACAUGUUACAACUCAGGGGCAUUUUGGGCAAUUAACAUUUUUUUUGGCUGAUGUCAACGAGAUUCUACCCACGGAGCAGACGGAUACUUAACGGCAGAUACCAAGCGUUUUUCGAAUAUUAACAUUAGGGAGGGGAUUGUAAUUUUCAGUACCUCAGAGAGGGGAAUGGCUUAAUUAGAAACCCUAAUGGAGAUUUGUGCAAUUUAUCCCCCAAAAAAGUGUAAGAGGGCAAAACAUACGAAAACAGAGUCUGGCCUUGCUAGGGUGGGGAUCUUUGCCUAUCUUUCGCUAUGUGGCAAACUUGGAGGUCCUUCGCACCAGAACUCGGUGCAGACACCACCCAAGAUAAGCCAUGUUCGAGCCAAGGCUGUCGUUACUCUCGAGAUGUCAUCACUUAGCAAGCUUGAAAGAAUAACCGCUCAAGAGUUUGGAUAAUGGGCAAUCCGAGAGGUGUCAGGUAAUAGAAGGAAGCUUGCAUGGCGAAGUUUCUUCUAACAGCCCCUACGCUCGGAUGGAGAUGUCAGCAGUGUAAUGAUAGGCUACCAGCCAGGCCCCAGGAGUAUGGCUAGGUCGGCUGCCUACUCACUGUUACAGCGGUCAGUAUACACGAACACGUACCGACCCGCAAUCUAUCUAGUGAUAAGACAGUUAGCGCGUCAAGGUACGCACCAAGCUACACUAUAUAAGGAGAAUUGUUGUUCUCAUAAAGAUACGCACACAUUGGCUAUCUGAGUUUAUAUACACUUUCUCUCUCUACAUCUCCGAUCUUCUAACUUGACCGUCAGAGAACCGUUUUCUGAAAACAGCUUCGGCGUGGCCGAAUUCACUGUGUCUGUGCUAUAGCUAGGGCAUUGGGCAUUGACUAGUUGAAGUCACCGUGCAGUCGUAGGAUCACCACGAGUGUCUAUCUUCGAUUUUGUUCCUCUCUCCUUCAAACAUCACACCCCCAUAAAAAGCAACAACAACAAUAAUUGUGUCAAAAAUAAAUAUAUUAAAAACAAACUAGUCACCAACUUCCUCCAACUAUAUAUACCUUGCUUAGGCUUCAUACAUAUCUCAUAUUUAACAGAGAUCAGAUACUAAUUGUCAUUAGUUUCACAAAGAUAGAGAAUCAUGGAUUUCUCAUACUGCUAUACCCCUUCUCUUUUUUGUGUUCGUGGGGUUGUUGAAUUUAAGUUGUUGUGAUCCAACAGAUGGUUUCACAAACAUACCAUUGACAGAGGCCAACUUUGAUAAACAACAUACCUAUAACCUUCCUCUUUCCGAUCGUUAUAGCUAUGAAAAUGGAGUGAGAAUGUUGUGGGUUUAUUCUAUUGGUAAGCCUCAUUCCCCCGACAGUCAUAGCCUCAUUCCUCCGACAGUCUGUUGAGGACAUGUGUUAAGAAUAAGUUCCAUAUCGGAUAAUUAAAAAAAUAAUUGGCUCUUACAAGGCUUAAACUUUUAAGUAGAUAUGAGUUUCAAAUAAUGUAUAUUGGGCCAAGAUGAUGUAGAUACAGACCUAUGCUAUUUCUCUCCAAAUAGAUUAGGCCUUACAUGAGCACACGGGCGAACUCCAAUCACAUAUGAGUAUUAGAUAAAGUGACACCUUCUCGUCAAAUAAUAUAAUUACUAACUUAUAAGACAUCAAAUCCGAUACUAUUGUCAAAUAAAUUUUAUCCCAAUGACUUAGUUGUUGGUCCAUUGAUUUUAUAUUUUAUUCAUUUUUUACAAUUGUGUGGUGGUUAAGAUAUACAAAAUGACAAAAAAACUUACUUCCCAAUACGCAAUUCACACUUUUUAAUAUACUUUUACAUAUAUGUAUACACCUUUUAAUACAUUUUUUCUUCCUUAACCAACACCUAAUAAGUGAUGGUUAUCAUUUUCCUUUCUUUAUUAUGUUAAUGAAGGGUUAUAACUAUACUUAUGGUGUCUGGCAAUGUGAAGGGCUACGGCUACGGUUACGUUCCUAAGCCUACCUCUGGUGCAACAAAAGUAGGAAUGGCAAUGGGGUGGGUUCGGGACGGGUUCGUCCUCCCCCACCCCCGCCUUGAUUAAGAUAUUACUCCCCACCCUGUCCCAAACCCUGGCGGGUUGGGACUUCCUUCUCCACUCCCGCCUCAUUUACAGAAACCCUCCCCUGCCCCCGCUCGCCUCGUUUAGUUUAACGAGUUCGGGUUAAUCGGGUUUAUCCCCCAACUCGCCCCCACAAAAAACAACUUUCCUGCUAGUUUUAGAAACCUCAGGGACAGUGUCAACUCAUCAAAUAAUAUGCAGGCAACAUUAACAUAUGCUAUGAAAGAAAAUCAAAAGAAAUAAAAACAAGAGACUCAUCAUAUUGCAACAUAAACACACACUGUCACACACACAAAAAGGGAGGGACAAAGUGUCAUCAAGCCAAACAACCAGAGAAAACACCAUCAAGCAAUUACAAACUUGUGCACCACAGGUCAUUAACAGUUCAACACACACACAAAAAUACAUGUCCAUAGUGGAAGACAAAGACAACAAAAAAGACUAAAGGCAUCAACACAUCUCCAUCCAUCUCAAUAGCAUAAAACACCACAGGUCCAUAGUAGUUCCAGGAGAAUAUUUUUAUAUCAAGCCUACAUGAACUUGUGCCUACAAUAUAAACAAAGAAAGUUAUAGUUUAUAUAAAUACUUUAAAACAAUGAUAAAAUUCUUUAAUAACUACUUACCUUAGUGAGAACAAAUUGGUUUAAUAUAACUCUACACCGAAUCAUAGUCAUCUUCAAUUAUAAAUGUACAACUUGAUACAUUUGUUGAACAAAUACCUAAACAAGUGAUAUAUAAUUUCAUUAUGUAUCUAUGUGUAUUAAAAAAUCAAACAAAUAAAAUAACUUUACAUGUUUAAAUUAUUACCUUUAAUUUCGUUGCGCAAUCAGUUUUGUGCACACAUCAAAGCUUCCAAAAAUUAUAUCUAUAUUUUGUAAUCAGACAACAUAUGGAAAUUAAAGUAAAAAAAAAAAAAUUAUAACGAGUUAAAAUUUAAUUAGACAACAUUUUAUAAUCAGACAACAUAUUAUUUUUUUCAGAUCGUUAGUAUAAUCAUAUGGUAUCACCAAAAAAAAAGCAUAGAUCUGAACUUAAUAUAAUAAAUCUAACAAGUUAACAUUUAAUUAACACACAAAAAAUAAGGAAUUCCUUUAUUUCCCAGAAAAUAGAACUCAUGAACUAAAGCAAGAAAAGACAAUAGAGAAAGACUUAACAGUGCUUCAACGAUCGACGAUGGGGACGGAGAACGAUACUUCAACGGUCGAUGAUGGUGACGGAGAACGAUUGCACAAUCGCGUAGACAAAAAGGAGCUUAGGGAGACCCAGUAGAGGAGAGGCGGCAGUUGGGAAAAAAGGUAAUUAACGGAUGAGAAUAGAUAACCCUAAAUGAUAUAUAUAUAUAUAUAAUAGAAUAUAAUAUAGUCUUAUAUAAAAAAGGAUAUUUAUGGUAUAAACAAAAAGAAACAGGGGUAUUUGUCUAUACAUUCCAUAUCGGGUCGUGUCGGGUCAGUUUUAUGUUAAUGGUUGAACCGCGAACCAAUAACCCGCCCCCGCCCCAAACCCGAUUGGGGUUUUCAUUUUUCUUCCACCCCCGCCCCGAACCCAUUUAUUCAGAUCCCAAACUCGCCCUAUUAGGGUCGGGUCGGGGCCUCGAUUAUUUUGGGGGAAUUGCCAUCCCUAGACAAUAGCACAAAUUCAUGGGGCAACUCAUGAUUCUUCUACCAUAAUACUAAGGAUAUAUGAUGGAGACAUGAGGUACUACAGCGGUGAUCUUAUUGAAACCAAUAUGCAUGACCGAUUGUGGGGUAGUAGGUUAGAGAGAUGAUGGAAGGAAAAUAUAGGAUAAACAUUUACGAUGGUCUUGCGACAGCAAUGAGGGUUAGCACCAAUCAGUUGCGUGGCAGUGUACUAGCUGCAGCACCUAAACAGUGAGAUCGGCUUCCAGAGCUAUUUUUAAAAAAUGGCUCUCCGACGGUCAAGUUAGAUGACCAUAGUUAGUGUAUGUAUAUAUAUAUAGAGAGAGAGAGAGAGAGAGAGAGAAUAUAUAUGCUCUUAACAGGUGAAAAUAUUACCCUUGUGAGAAUAUGAGUUUUCCUUAUAUAGCGCAUAGUUCGGCGCGCCAACUAUUGUAUUAGUAGAUAGAUGGCUGACCAAACCAUGCUUCUGCGACUCAGUUGGUAGCAUGUCUUCAUACCGUAGAUGCCAUGUUCCAGGUAUGGGGGUUGUCGGAAAUAACUUCGUCGUGCAAGUCAUCCUCUGUCCCUUGACAAAACUCAGGAUCGCUGCGGAUCAUUGUCUCUCGAUCAAUUCUCAGUACGGUUGGUCUCCCGAGCUUACUGUGUAGCGAUAGCUUGGUUGUGAUACAGAUCCUAUAGUCUUGGAUGAUGUCAAUACUUGGUAAUGUUUCGACCGAGCUCAGACGAGCGUCGUGCCCCUACUUUGCUGCGUGAUGGUUAGCCUGGGGUGGCUAUGACCUCGGUAUGAUCCGAACUUAUAGUUGUCUAUUUUAUUCUCUUACACAGAUGGUUUAGGCUUAAUAUAAUCCAUGACGUGGAAGGAGGAAAGGUGACUGUGUUCAUCAAUGGAGUUCAAAAGUUUGAGACCAACGAUAGAGGUCCGAACGAUGAUUUCCACUUCAAGUGCAGGGUUUACAGCCUAAAGAUAUAAGCCACUUCAUGGAAUCAAGGUGGAGAGACAUCAAGUUAUAUAAGAAGUAGUUUGUCAUGUGAUGAAAGAAAUUGUUGAAGGUCUUGGAUUAUAUAAUUCAGUAAUGAAAUAUUAUUCUCAAAAGUUGUUGUCAAUUUUGAUUUGCAAUUUAUGUCACUACCCUCGAUCGCUAUUGUGUUAUUACGUUUAACUUUUUAUUUUGGUUCAAAUGUCAUAUAAAUAAUAUGUAAAAAUUGAAAGGAAAAAGUUACAUAUUUUAUUUGUUGAUUUUUUAACAUAAAUUUUAAGAUAUUCCAAAAUAAAAUAACGAUAUUUUAAUAUGGAACAAAUGCAGUAUCGUAAAGUUGUUACAGGUCUUCCCUUAGGUUUAUCUCACAGUGUCCAACGUUGCUCAAAUUAGGGUGCCCCAUCAAUGGCACAUCUACAACUCAUGAGAAACCUAUUCGUGUGUCUUGAGAGCAGAAUUGGCUACAAAGCAUGCUAGUUUCGUGCACACAUGCGUUACGUGUUCUUAUUACAUUCGUGAAAUUAAAUUUUUGCAUGUAUUAUGAUAUUUGUAAAACCAAAUUCCAAAAGGAAACUCAACAAUAAUAGAACACCAAAGAAGAAUAAAAAAUGUAAAAUAAAAUUAAAGAUAUCUAUUGACAAAUCUUUUAGAAAGUGUUCGUUUUAGUAACAUUUACUUUUCAUCGAGGAUUAAGCAGCUUAUGUGAUGAAAUACUAUAUGCUAACAUUAAUUUAACAUGUUAAACGUAGUAGUUCUCACAAUAAUUUAUAAAUAAAUAUAAAAAAAUAAAUUAAUUGAUUAUCUUUUAAAUAUUGUGGAUCCCGCAAUAUACUGUUGUGGUCCCACAAUUAAUGAUAUAUAAACUGUUUGGUUAUGUUUUACCUGUUAUGGGUAUUAAAAUAUAUUAUUGUGGGACCACAACAAUAUUUUUAAAGAUGUAUAAAAAUUUAAUUAGUUAAGUAUUAAAAUCAUUGAUGUCACGGCAAUAUGAAACAAUCGAAGGUUAAAGCAGAUAUGUGGUGGACGAAGAAAUAGCAGUAAAAUAAGUUGGCAAAUGCUUGGGAAUGGGCAAUUGGAUUUGGGUAUUUUGCUAAUAUGUGAAGAAAUCUAUGGGUGAAAUGGUCUUUCAACCAUUGCAUGGAGAAACUCAUAAAUCCUCUUUUUUAUAUGUAGUAGUAGAUAUCUAACUUGCAAAAAUAUAUAUGAAUAUUUUGGUUUACCUAUGUAUAAAUAUAUAUAUAUGUUUGAAUAAAUCCAACUUUAAGACCUUUAGAUUAAUCUCUCUCAGAUUCAAUUAGGCUAAGCGAAAAUACUGGGUUAUCAAAA